rnacentral:rRNA from 1 species
UACAGAGGAAGCGAGCGUAAAUCGGAAUUACUGGGCGUAAAGCGCACGUAGGUGGCGUCGUAAGUCGGGUGUGAAAGACCCGGGCUCAACCUGGGAAUUGCAUUCGAGACUGCAUUGCUGGAGUACGGAAGAGGAGGGCGGAAUUCCCGGUGUAGCGGUGAAAUGCGUAGAUAUCGGGAGGAACAUCAGUGGCGAAGGCGGCCCUCUGGUCCAGUACUGACACUCAAGUGCGAAAGCGUGGGGAGCAAACAGG